rnacentral:rRNA from 1 species
UACUCCUACGGGGAGGCAGCAGUGGGGAAUAUUGCACAAUGGGCGGAAGCCUGAUGCAGCGACGCCGCGUGAGGGAUGACGGCCUUCGGGUUGUAAACCUCUUUCGACAGGGACGAAGCGCAAGUGACGGUACCUGUAGAAGAAGCACCGGCCAACUACGUGCCAGCAGCCGCGGUAAUACGUAGGGUGCGAGCGUUGUCCGGAAUUACUGGGCGUAAAGAGCUUGUAGGCGGUUCGUCGCGUCGAUCGUGAAAACUUGCAGCUCAACUGCGAGCUUGCGGUCGAUACGGGCGGACUAGAGUACUGCAGGGGAGACUGGAAUUCCUGGUGUAGCGGUGAAAUGCGCAGAUAUCAGGAGGAACACCGGUGGCGAAGGCGGGUCUCUGGCAGUAACUGACGCUGAGAGCGAAGCCUCCCCA